CCUCGCAGGGGCCGGAGCCCGGGGUCCGCGGGGCCAAGAGGCGAGGGCAGCCUCGCCGAGGGCUGCUAGAUCCGGACGGGGCGGGAGGGGCGGGCCGGCGGUCCCCGGGCCACGGUGCAGGCGUCCCCCGGCUGGCUGGCCGGGCGCAGGCUGCGGGGCGCGGGCGGGCCGACUCCGGGGCGCUGCGUGCGCGCAGGGGCAGUCAUUCAGAUGAAAUUCCAGUCCCCGGCCAGAGACACCAGCCCGCCUCUGCCUUCCUCCUCCCUUCACAAAUAGAAACGGAAGGGGGAGGGAGAGAAGUGGAAAAAAAGGCAACCGGCGAGGGAGGGAGGGAGAAGCCCCGGCGGCGCUCCGGCCUGACCCCCGGGCGGCUACUUCUGCGCUCCCCCGAGGCCCGGCGCCCCCGCCGCGGAGAGACCCCGCGCGCCCGUCUCCGCGCUGGGCGGGCGCCCGGGCUCUGCCGAGGAAAACAAGGAUUGAUCAAACUAGAAAGGAAUUUUUCUCAACUGCUAAUGAACAGGAGGCUCGGCUCCCGGCCCUCCCCUCCCCUCCCCCGGCCCUCCCCCUUCGCCCCCCGGCCCCCUCCCCCCCACUUUCUUUUCUUCUCGGCCUCUGCUCGGGCCUGGAAGGCUCGGGGCUGCGGUCGGAGCCAGCCUGCGGCGGCGGGGCCGGGCCGAGCCGCCUCCCUCAGCGCCCAGCCAUCUUGGGCUCCGCGGCGGCGACCGGGGUCUGGGCGCGCUCGCUGAGGGGCCCGCGGCGUCCUCUGGCUCCUGAUUUUUUUUUUUUUUUUGGUGGGAUUUUUUUUUUCCAAGGGGAGGGCUGGCGGCCUCCAACAAAUUAGGAGAGAGAGAGGGAGAAAAUGCCAAGUCCCGAUUUCUCUCCACCUCUGCUCCACCCACCCCGGUCCUGUCCAAAAAAUAAAAAAAGAUGAGAAUUGGAAGAAGUCGGCAGAAAGGCAAGCGCCCGCGGUCCCCGGCUGCUGCCCAGGCGACGCGUCCGGGGCGGGCCCGCGCCCGUUGCUCGGUCCGAGGUCCGUCUGUCUGCCCGCGGCUUCUCAAGGGAGGGGAGGGCGCUUCGGGCAGGGUCUCCGCAGCGGCUAUCGUCUCACAGCUUUAUCCUCAGAUCAAAAAAGAAAAAAGAGGAAGAAAAAAAUCCCAACCCCAACACUCUCAUCACAGCCACCUUCAGCCAUCUUGCGCAUAUUAUUAUUUCAGGAAUAAUCUGUUUAAUAAAAAUACCUGCGUAUCCAGCCCCUCCCCCGCGUCCUGGGGUCCCCGCCCCGUUUUAAUAAUAAUCUCGAUAAUAAAAACGAUCGGCGGGCCGGGCAGUCCGCGGCUGCCCUUU
rnacentral:lncRNA from 1 species